ACUACCUCAUGCUGACUCCUCUGACGCCUGUGGUCCCUGCAGGGCAUCGUGGCCUCCCUCCCCUGGACUCCUGGUGGGGCCAAGGACUGCCGUCCUCGAGCAGGGCUAAAAAUUAGGAGUGUGCGAGGCCACUACCAGGCCAAGGAAGACAAGGAGGAGCCGGUGCUCCCCGACUUGGCACACAUCCGCCUGGAGAUCACCACACUGCCAAUCUUUGUGUAACCACAGCAAGGAGCCCCAGAAGAUGAGCAAGCACCACCAGACGACAAAGCACCAGCCAGUGCCAUCCCAGAAUCUCAGAACAGUUGAGGUUGGAAGGGACCUCUGGAGAUCAUCUAGUCCAACUCCUCUCCUCAAGUAAGGUCACUGAGAACAUGUCGCCCAGGA
rnacentral:lncRNA from 1 species